UUACGGCCAUAUCACGUUGAAACACCGGUUCAUGUUCCUUCACCAACGUUAAGCAACGUUGGCCCCAGUCAGUACCUAGAUGGAGGACCGCUUGGGAAUACCAGGUGCUGUAAG